UAGCUGAUUUCUUCUUCUUGUUGGUU
rnacentral:piRNA from 1 species